GUGUACCUAUAUUAUUAAAGUAAAAAAUGUGCGAAAAAUGGAGAGUAACACUACAUUCGAAAAAAUUUGUCGCAAUAAUUCAUCAAAUCAUAUGUACCUAAGUAUGUAUCACGCACAUUAUUUUAUUAUGCGAGUGCUACGCAGACAGCUUAUACGAGAGAGCCAAACUAAAUUUGAAUGAGAAAAAUUCGUUUAUCGAAAAAAUCACCUUCACAAACAUUUGUACAAUCAAACGAGUAAAAUUUAUGACCACAAUACGGUAGGUUAGGAAGGUAUAGGCAUCGUUAUGAUAUCCAAUUCAACACCUGUGGUUACUCUACCUCUGUCUACCCAUUUGUGCAAUUCGUUCACCAAUGAAACAUUAGGUAGACCUAGACUCCACUACAUCGAACUUGAAUGCAAUACUCGCAGAGGACUUUUGUUUCGUACAUAUCAUCUUCAACUCCGUACAGCAGCGAGUGAUUAAUCAUGAGCACGAAGGAAUCAUUUUUUGUGAACAAUCCUAUCACCCCUGAGAACGAACGCGUGCGUUUAUUCCCAAUAAAUGUGGAAUUCGCCACCAGGAAAGGAUGUUUUUUGUUUGGAAAAUUACAUAUAAUUUAUGUCCUGGCGUUGAUACUGGUCAUUGGGAUACUUGCGAUGUGGCAUCAUAAACAUGAAAAAAAUCAGGAAUUACGCGUAGAACCUUUAUUCGCACAGCGUGCACCUUACGCAGCUGGCAACGAAGAGGAUGAAAACUUGACAAAAUACAAGCGAAAAAGUAGCCAGCUUUCACAAAAUCUAUAUCCAAACGCGAUAGAUGAUGAUCCAGCUGAAGGGGAUACACUUCUGCCAAUAGCUUCGAGUCAGAGUAUAUCCGACGGGAAUGAGUUCAGGACGACAGGUUUUCUUGAAAGUACGUCUGAGGGUAUUAAGGAUAUGCCAACAGGUAUGAUUGAGAAUGAGGUUUAUGGGCGUAAAAUUCAUCCAACAGGUUCGGGUUUGAUUGAGGAGAAUGAGAGUACAUCUUCAGGGAAACAGUUUCAGCCGGCAAAGCAUACAUGUAAGUCUGCAGGGAAUAAGCCUAGGCCAGUAGAUAUUGCAACUGAAAGUAUGUCUGAGGGGAGUAGGUAUGAGCCGGAAAACGUGAUCGAGGAUAACAGCGUAUAUGAUGGGAAUAGGUUUCCGGCAGCAAAUUUGAUUGAAAGUAAGUUUACUGAAGAUACGUGAAAUAUCUAAAUUGAGCAUAACUUUUAGAUUAAAUAUAAUUACGCAUCUAAUAGGUAUUUGUAUAAACAGACAGCAGAUGUAUUCACUCUUGUUUUGGAUUAGAUAGGUAAAUAAAGAUUAUACUACGUU